GGUAAGAUGGCCGAGAGUCUAGGCGGUGGGCUGUAGUCCCAUAGACAGAGGUUUAAGUCCUUUUCUUAUCA
rnacentral:tRNA from 1 species